GAUGAACGCUAGCGACAGGCUUAACACAUGCAAGUCGAGGGGCAGCACAGGUAGCAAUACCGGGUGGCGACCGGCGCACGGGUGAGUAACGCGUAUGCAACUUACCUAUCAGAGGGGGAUAACCCGGCGAAAGUCGGACUAAUACCGCAUGAAGCAGGGGCCCCGCAUGGGGAUAUUUGCUAAAGAUUCAUCGCUGAUAGAUAGGCAUGCGUUCCAUUAGGCAGUUGGCGGGGUAACGGCCCACCAAACCGACGAUGGAUAGGGGUUCUGAGAGGAAGGUCCCCCACAUUGGUACUGAGACACGGACCAAACUCCUACGGGAGGCAGCAGUGAGGAAUAUUGGUCAGUGGGCGUAAGCCUGAACCAGCCAAGUCGCGUGAGGGAUGAAGGUUCUAUGGAUCGUAAACCUCUUUUAUAAGGGAAUAAAGUGCGGGACGUGUCCCGUUUUGUAUGUACCUUAUGAAUAAGGAUCGGCUAACUCCGUGCCAGCAGCCGCGGUAAUACGGAGGAUCCGAGCGUUAUCCGGAUUUAUUGGGUUUAAAGGGUGCGUAGGCGGCCUUUUAAGUCAGCGGUGAAAGUCUGUGGCUCAACCAUAGAAUUGCCGUUGAAACUGGGGGGCUUGAGUAUGUUUGAGGCAGGCGGAAUGCGUGGUGUAGCGGUGAAAUGCAUAGAUAUCACGCAGAACCCCGAUUGCGAAGGCAGCCUGCCAAGCCAUUACUGACGCUGAUGCACGAAAGCGUGGGGAUCAAACAGGAUUAGAUACCCUGGUAGUCCACGCAGUAAACGAUGAUCACUAGCUGUUUGCGAUACACUGUAAGCGGCACAGCGAAAGCGUUAAGUGAUCCACCUGGGGAGUACGCCGGCAACGGUGAAACUCAAAGGAAUUGACGGGGGCCCGCACAAGCGGAGGAACAUGUGGUUUAAUUCGAUGAUACGCGAGGAACCUUACCCGGGUUUGAACGCAUUCGGACCGAGGUGGAAACACCUUUUCUAGCAAUAGCCGUUUGCGAGGUGCUGCAUGGUUGUCGUCAGCUCGUGCCGUGAGGUGUCGGCUUAAGUGCCAUAACGAGCGCAACCCUUGCCACUAGUUACUAACAGGUGAUGCUGAGGACUCUGGUGGGACUGCCAGCGUAAGCUGCGAGGAAGGCGGGGAUGACGUCAAAUCAGCACGGCCCUUACAUCCGGGGCGACACACGUGUUACAAUGGCGUGGACAAAGGGAUGCCACCUGGCGACAGGGAGCGAAUCCCCAAACCACGUCUCAGUUCGGAUCGGAGUCUGCAACCCGACUCCGUGAAGCUGGAUUCGCUAGUAAUCGCGCAUCAGCCAUGGCGCGGUGAAUACGUUCCCGGGCCUUGUACACACCGCCCGUCAAGCCAUGGGAGCCGGGGGUACCUGAAGUCCGUAACCGAAAGGAUCGGCCUAGGGUAAAACUGGUGACUGGGGCU
rnacentral:rRNA from 1 species